UAUCUCUGUAGAGUCUGCAUAUCAAUAAGUGGAGGAAAAGAAACUAACAAGGAUUCCCUUAGUAACGGCGAGUGAAGCGGGAAGAGCUCAAAUUUGAAAUCUUCAAGGUUCUACCUUGACGAAUUGUAGUUUAAAGAAGUGUUUUCUGUUAGAUGAGUAGCAAAAGUUCCUUGGAAUGGGACAUCAUAGAGGGUGAGAAUCCCGUAUUUGGUUAUUCAUUCUAGCUCUGUGAUACACUUUCAAAGAGUCGGAUUGUUUGGGAAUGCAGUCCAAAAUGGGUGGUAAAUUUCAUCUAAAGCUAAAUAUUGGCGAGAGACCGAUAGCGAACAAGUACCGUGAGGGAAAGAUGAAAAGAACUUUGAAAAGAGAGUUAAACAGUACGUGAAAUUGUCAAAAGGGAAGCGUUUGACACCAGUGUUGUUUUCUCGAAAAUCAAUUAAGAAAGUUGGAUUUGUAUGUGUGUAUGACCUUAUCAGCUUAUUGUACUCUUUUCGAGUCUUUUUUAAGUGCACUUUUCGGUUAACAAGUCAACAUCAAUUUCUUUUGUUGUAAAAGAGUCAUUGGAAGGUGGCUUUCCUUUCGGAUGAAAGUGUUUAUAGCCCUAUACUUCUACAAUCGGAGAGAUUGAGGUCUGCAGCGUAGAUCCUUCGGGGUUAGAUACACUUGUGCUAAGUUGUAGCUUUUCAUAGACAACUUGUUGACUAUGUUUAGUCAUGCGGCUUACUCGCUUGUGCUAUUUUACCUACGCUUAGGAUGUUGAAGAUGUAGCACAUCA
rnacentral:rRNA from 1 species